UCCCCAGGUGGGAUGCUUAAUGCUUUCGCUUGGUCACCAGGCUGAAACAGCCUGACAACGGGCAUCCAUCGUUUACCGUGCGGACUACCAGGGUAUCUAAUCCUGUUCGAUACCCGCACUUUCGAGCUUCAGCGUCAGUUGUGCUCCCGCAAGCUGCCUUCGCAAUCGGAGUUCUUCGUCAUAUCUAAGCAUUUCACCGCUACACGACGAAUUCCGCCUGCGUUGUGCACACUCAAGUGGACCAGUUCGCGCUGCAGUGCAGACGUUGAGCACCUGCAUUUCACAACACGCUUAAUCCACGGCCUACGCUCCCUUUAAACCCAAUAAAUCCGGAUAACGCCCGGACCUUCCGUAUUACCGCGGCUGCUGGCACGGAAUUAGCCGGUCCUUAUUCAUGCGGUACCUGCAAUGAAGGACACGUCCCUCACUUUAUCCCCGCAUAAAAGCAGUUUACAACCCAUAGGGCCGUCAUCCUGCACGCUACUUGGCUGGUUCAGGCUCUCGCCCAUUGACCAAUAUUCCUCACUGCUGCCUCCCGUAGGAGUUUGGACCGUGUCUCAGUUCCAAUGUGGGGGACCUUCCUCUCAGAACCCCUACUGAUCGUCGCCUUGGUGGGCCGUUACCCCGCCAACC
rnacentral:rRNA from 1 species